CCUACGGGAGGCAGCAGUGAGGAAUAUUGGUCAAUGGACGAGAGUCUGAACCAGCCAAGUAGCGUGAAGGAUGACUGCCCUAUGGGUUGUAAACUUCUUUUAUAUGGGAAUAAAAUGUUCCACGUUUGGGAUUUUGUAUGUACCAUAUGAAUAAGGAACGGCUAACUCCGUGCCAGCAGCCGCGGUAAUACGGAGGAUCCGAGCGUUAUCCGGAUUUAUUGGGUUUAAAGGGAGCGUAGGUGGAUUGUUAAGUCAGUUGUGAAAGUUUGCGGCUCAACCGUAAAAUUGCAGUUGAAACUGGCAGUCUUGAGUACAGUAGAGGUGGGCGGAAUUCGUGGUGUAGCGGUGAAAUGCUUAGAGAUCACGAAGAACUCCGAUUGCGAAGGCAGUUCACUGGACUGCAACUGACACUGAGGCUCGAAAGUGUGGGUAUCAAACAGGAUUAGAUACCCGGGUAGUC
rnacentral:rRNA from 1 species